rnacentral:rRNA from 1 species
GGCGAACGCUGGCGGCGUGCUUAACACAUGCAAGUCGAACGGUGAAGCGCCUUCCUUUUUGGUGGGUGUGGAUGAGUGGCGAACGGGUGAGUAACACGUGAGUAACCUGCCCCCUUCUUCUGGAUAACCGCAUGAAAGUGUGGCUAAUACGGGAUAUUCUGGGUCUGUCGCAUGAUGGGUCUGGGAAAGAUAUUGUUUCGGUGGGGGAUGGGCUCGCGGCCUAUCAGCUUGUUGGUGGGGUGAUGGCCUACCAAGGCGGUGACGGGUAGCCGGCCUGAGAGGGUGGGCGGUCACACGGGGACGGAGACACGGCCCAGACUCCUACGGGAGGCAGCAGUGGGGAAUAUUGCACAAUGGGCGCAAGCCUGAUGCAGCGACGCCGCGUGAGGGAUGGAGGCCUGCGGGUUGUGAACCUCUUUCGCCAGUGAAGCAGGCCUGCCUCGUUUGUGGGUGGGUUGACGGUAGCUGGAUAAGAAGCGCCGGCUAACUACGUG